GAUGAACGCUGGCGGCGUGCCUAAUACAUGCAAGUCGAGCGAAUGGAUUAAGAGCUUGCUCUUAUGAAGUUAGCGGCGGACGGGUGAGUAACACGUGGGUAACCUGCCCAUAAGACUAGGAUAACUCCGGGAAACCGGGGCUAAUACCGGAUAACAUUUUGAACCGCAUGGUUCGAAAUUGAAAGGCGGCUUCGGCUGUCACUUAUGGAUGGACCCGCGUCGCAUUAGCUAGUUGGUGAGGUAACGGCUCACCAAGGCAACGAUGCGUAGCCGACCUGAGAGGGUGAUUGGCCACACUGGGACUGAGACACGGCCCAGACUCCUACGGGAGGCAGCAGUAGGGAAUCUUCCGCAAUGGACGAAAGUCUGACGGAGCAACGCCGCGUGAGUGAUGAAGGCUUUCGGGUCGUAAAACUCUGUUGUUAGGGAAGAACAAGUGCUAGUUGAAUAAGCUGACACCUUGACGGUACCUAACCAGAAAGCCACGGCUAACUACGUGCCAGCAGCCGCGGUAA
rnacentral:rRNA from 1 species